GACGAACGCUGGCGGCGUGCUUAGCACAUGCAAGUCGAACGGAAAGGCCCUGCUUUUGUGGGGUGCUCGAGUGGCGAACGGGUGAGUAACACGUGAGUAACCUGCCCUUGACUUUGGGAUAACUUCAGGAAACUGGGGCUAAUACCGGAUAGGAGCUCCUGCUGCAUGGUGGGGGUUGGAAAGUUUGGCGGUUGGGGAUGGACUCGCGUCUUAUCCGCUUGUUGGUGGGGUAGUGGCUUACCAAGGCUUUGACGGGUAGCCGGCCUGAGAGGGUGACCGGCCACAUUGGGACUGAGAUACGGCCCAGACUCCUACGGGAGGCAGCAGUGGGGAAUAUGGCACAAUGGGCGGAAGCCUGAUGCAGCAACGCCGCGUGCGGGAUGACGGCCUUCGGGUUGUAAACCGCUUUCGCCUGUGACGAAGCGUGAGUGACGGUAAUGGGUAAAGAAGCACCGGCUAACUACGUG
rnacentral:rRNA from 1 species